rnacentral:rRNA from 1 species
UACGGGGGGGGCAAGCGUUGUUCGGAAUUACUGGGCGUAAAGGGCUCGUAGGCGGCCAACUAAGUCCGACGUGAAAUCCCCAGGCUUAACCUGGGAACUGCGUCGGAUACUGGAUGGCUUGAAUCCGGGAGAGGGAUGCGGAAUUCCGAGUGUAGAGGUGAAAUUCGUAGAUAUUCGGAAGAACACCAGUGGCGAAGGCGGCUGACUGGACUGGUAUUGACGCUGAGGUGCGAAAGCGUGGGGAGCAAACAGG